rnacentral:rRNA from 1 species
AGAGUUUGAUCCUGGCUCAGGAUGAACGCUAGCGGCAGGCAUAAUACAUGCAAGUUGAACGCUGAGGACAGCAGCAAUGUUAUCCUUGGAGUGGCGCACGGGUGCGUAACACGUAUGCAAUCUGCCCCUAACAGGGGAAUAGCCCGGCGAAAGUCGGAUUAAUACCCCAUAACAAUGUGAAUCGGCAUCGGUUUAUAUUUAAAGCUCCGGCGGUUAGGGAUGAGCAUGCGCGACAUUAGCUAGAUGGCGGGGUAACAGCCCACCAUGGCUACGAUGUCUAGGGGGUCUGAGAGGAUUUUCCCCCACACUGGUACUGAGACACGGACCAGACUCCUACGGGAGGCAGCAGUAGGGAAUAUUGGGCAAUGGACGCAAGUCUGACCCAGCCAUGCCGCGUGAAGGACGGAGGCCC